rnacentral:rRNA from 1 species
GAUUUCUGACAUGGUAGGCCUUCAUCCGCCGGCGAUAGCUGUGUGUGUAUGGGGUCGCCGCGUCAUCCUUGUAGAAAACUCUCGUGCUCUUUACUGGGCUGCGAGGGUGAUCUACAUCUUUUACUUUGAAAAAAUUAGAGUGUUCAAAGCAGGCUUACGCUGUGAAUACAUUAGCAUGGAAUAAUAAUCUAGGACUUCGGGCCUAUUUUGUUGGUUUCUAGGACUGAAGUAAUGAUUGAUAGGGAUAGUUGGGGGUGCUAGUAUUCAGCGGCCAGAGGUGAAAUUCUUGGAUUCGCUGAAGACUAACUUAUGCGAAAGCAUU